AGACAAGCAGACAGAGGAAGAGAAGUGAUGUAAGAAAACACCUGCCUAUUCCCACAUCAGCGGGCAGAGCAAGAUGACCAUCCUGUUGGAGUCAUGUUUAUGUCCACCUAAUACUGUAGAUGGGAUAUCCUGCCCAUCUUACAGUAAAACAGCUCUCACUCUGAUUGGACAGCGCUCCCACAACAGGGCCUCCUGGGAGGACACUACAGGAGAGGACAGUCAGAAAUGUUUCAAAUCCACAAAGGACAGAAUCAGAAACAUAUGAGAGCUACUAACAGCCGCUCCUCUGCAAGCCGAAUUUGUGAAGAGAAGACCUGAAGAAUUCUGGUGAUGCCGGUGAUACUAUGGUGCUACAGAGGUGCGUGUGUGUCUUGCUGCUGCUGCUGCUGCUGCUGAUGAUGAUGAUGAUGAUGAUGGGUGCAUCCGGAUGCCUGUCGCUGAGCUCUGCCAUUUCUGUACUGAAGUACAGAGGCGGAAAGAGAAAGAGAGGGAGCAUGUGUCAGUGUUGCACACACAGAGACACACACACACACACACACACACACACACACACACGUAGAGCAUCAGCUGCGACACAGACCUGUCUGUGUCUAAAAAUGGAAAGCACACUUGCUGUUGCUGAGAAGCCACAAGAAGCUUCCAUAUGUGGCGUGUACAUACAGGGAUUUAUGUUAACAUCCAUCAGCCUUUGAAAUAACGUGGAUAAAAACUGGCUACUAAUGUCAGAUUAUAAGGGCACAAUAAAUGAAUGUUUUUUUGCUAAAAUACAUGCAUGGUCAUUUUCAUUGGUGACAGGGACAUGUCCCACUCACGUUUCAAAAUACAAUGAUUGUAUGGGGCAUGGUCCUGUGGCUAUGUAGUAUGUGACCAGCAAGGAAUAAGGUGGAUACAUGAGUUUUGCCAUCUGUGUGAGGUUGCCAAGUAACCAGCAGAGACCCCAUAAGGUACGGCACCUGGCUAAUAAGAAGUCCCACACAUAUCCCCCUGUAAAACCACAUGUAAUUUUUACAGUUAGUUUUUUGUAUGGAAUAAACAAACAAAUAAAUGGGCUUUAGAGCUGCUGUCAGGUGGGUUUUGUUUGCUGGCUUGGCUCUGUGCAUUGCACAUAUUCUCUAUACCUCAUACCGUUGAACAUUUGCACAUAUCCUUGGUUUAAAUUUCUUUUAUAUUUUUGUUGUCAAUUUUAUUUUAUUUUUUCUUGACAGUAAUCGUUUUCAUCUUUUAUUUUCUCUAACCAUGUUUAUUGUUAUGCGCCAAAAUUCCAAAGCAAA